UAUCUUUGUCCCGAUCUGCCAGGAGAAACCUCAUUUGACUUCUUCUCGGAGUUCUAGGCUGGAAGUCCAACAUUUUGCUCAGUUGGUGAGGUCUGCUGUGUAACGAGCAAUCUAAGAGAAUGUGGUCCAUUGAAUCAAUACCUGGAUUAUAAGUACGCCAAUUGAACACUCAUGACCUGAUGCGUUAUUAUCAAGCUGCGUCACAAGCUGGACACGGAGCUGCUUUCAGAAUAUCACUGAGGUGAGUAGCAUAGCAUUUUGGAUCAGGGUGUCACAAUCCCAGAAGCAUCAAUUCAGAAAGCUGAAUUCAAGGGACGCGAUAACUGAAACCAGCUCUGGCCACGUGGUGGCAGCAAAAUACACUUUUUGAAAGCAUCUGCAUUACAUCCCAUGAUGGAUUGUCACUAACCAAAUGAAUACUUGUCAUUUGAAAGGCUUCAGAAGGGCAAGAAGCAGGUUUUAAUUUUUGUUGGGGAUCUAUCAAUACCAGCCUUGGAUUGUAUUAGAUAAAAAUUUUACCUGGAUAUGUGCCGAGCUCCAUUACAGAACAAUCAUCCUGGAUAGCUCAGUCGGUAGAGCAUAAGACUCUUAAUCUCAUGGUUGUGGGUUCAAGCCCCACGCUGGGCAAAAAGAUUCCUGCAUUGCAGGGGGUUGGACUAGAUGACCCCCGUGGUCCCUUCCAGCUCUACAAUUCUGUGAUCCCUUCUAUGCCCACAUACUCUGAGACUAAAGGUUUAUUGUACCUGUUUCUUUCCAGUCUGAUUUUUCCCACACGGUCUGGACUCCCUUAUUUCACCCCCAGACACUUUUCAAGAAUUGUUCCACUAAUUCUUUGAAUUCUCUCUCCUUAUAUUGAUUUAAUUUGGGAAGUUUUCUCGCUCUGGUGAGAGUCUUAGAGGCUGUGUGCUGAUGAGCGGAUCUCUCCCUCUACUGCCUUGGCUUAUUUCCAAAAUUAUGACAGCCUGAACUCUUCAGAGCUUGCGUUGCCCUGGUGGGGAGCUCGGUUUUGUGCCUGUGUGUGUGUAUUUGCAUUUAUAGAAAAUUUUAUUCAUUGUUUUUAAAAGAUGGCGUGUCAAGUCAUCAAGCACAAGGAAAGAAAGAUCAGACAGCAAAUAUUUGGGUCAUAUAUGGCAAAGAACAAGAACAUUCAAUCUAAAAUGUCCUUUUUCUAUAGACUUUUUAAUAUCUACAGUUCCAGAGUUGCAGACAUGAAACAGUAAUUACCCUGAAUAGAGACGUAUUUCCCAAUUUUUAAAAAGAAAAUACCCAGUUACAAGACAUUUGUACUGGCAGUAAACACAGAACAAAAGUAAUAUAUCUAAGCAUUUAAUGUGCCUUUUUUAUUGAGGUAGGUGAGAUGUAUUGAGGUAGGUGUGUAUCAAAACAAGCACUGCACGACUACUGUUUAAUAUGGUUUACUUGCACCCACAGGGACACAGGUAAGAAACAUUUCCAUGAACAGAAGGAUGGAGUAUGUGCGCAUUAUAAUAAACCAAGUUUGUGUUCAACCAAAAGAUGAGGAUCUCCCAUUCCUUCACUCUGUGCCGGGUCGUUCAGAAUAUCCUCAAAACCAAUGCAGUCACAGUUGCCUUUCCAGAUAUCCAGGGACAAGUUAGAACUAGGAAGGAAGACGCUGGAGCUGCUUCACUGCUUGGAAUUCCAUUUGCAGCUUCAGCGGUGCCUGCAGCCCCAGAAUAUUUCUCAGAGUAGAAAAAUUCAUUUUAUCUUGAUUUAACAAAAAAAAUUAUCUGAUAGUUUGAAAGGAUGAACAGGGAAAAGUUCACUCUUCACAUUUGUAAAGCCUCAAUGUAUCACACCACAGCUUUCAAAUGCUCCAGCAGCUGAAAAAUCAGAAACUGGAAUACAGUACUUCAGUUGAGAUCCAAAAGCUCAGGAUUUUUGCACCAUCACCCAAUGCCUCUUCCUUCUGCCAGCCGGCGGGGAGCUCAUUGACGGCAUCGCUGGGGAAUCCUCAAGCUGUUCCUUUUUAUUUAAAAAGCAGGGGGGAAAGGAUAAUGGUCAAGGACAAUGGGAGUUGUAGUCAAGCAACCCCUGUAGGAAGGCCCCCAGUUCCCAAACUCAUAUUAUUAGUGUAGGCCUUUUUCAGAACUGCCUCCACAGCAUGAACACUUACGCUCAACGGUUCUCCCCACCCUAUGCAAAUCUUUCCUUCCUCUUACCUGUUCUAUUUAUAAGAGCAGCUUCAGCAGCAGCCACAACAGUGAAAACAGGAGAUCCUGGAAGAAAGAAGGUAUCUUUGAAGCAGGGGAGAACUCGACACUAAGAACUGCUUUAAGGGGAGAAUCCCUGAACAUGUGAAACUCUGCCAGCGGUAGCAGAUUCACCCAAUCGUCCUGGGGAUAACUAAGGAAGCAGCAAAGAUACACUUCCAGGACUGCUCUGUCUGCCUGUCUCCUCUCUCCUCACUUCAUGUUAGUUUGGUGUUGGGUUGGUUGGUUGGUUAGUGAAAGCUGGUAGUGUUGAGGUGUGUACACUUGGUCAGUCGCUUUUGCAGAAAGACUUUUAAGAAUAAAAGCAGAAAGCAAUCUGCAAGGACACUCUUCUCGUGGACUCUUUUAUGCCAACAAGGGUCCGAGGACCAGGCUGAGGCGACAAAGGGAGGUCAGAACCUUUUCUUUUCUUUUUACAAACACUGACAAGAACGUCCCCUCAGCCACCCAUCCAGCUGUCACACCCACCCCAGGGACUUAAAGCCCAUCCCACUGCGGAGCUCACAAGAGCCGCUUUUUGGCAGAUGACCAUGAGAUGUAGCAGAAGAAAAUCUCUGACUGCAUGGCUUUAAAAGAGGACUUCCUGAUUGUCUGCCAUGGCAAUCGCCUGUGCCAAUUACACUGGAGCCCUUCUGUGCUAGUAACAGAAGAUAAUAUGGGAGUAAUUAUCCUCCCAUAUUAUAUUAAUAUGGGAGUAAUUAACCCCCCUGGGGUUAGGGGGGCUCUCCACCCACAGAUUGUCUGAUACCUGCUGCCUGUCCAGAAGGAAGAGGGGGCAGGGGGAGCUGGGUGUACACCGCAUGGCUGUGGCAACUCUCCCAAGCCGGCGCCACGAGCAGAGAACACCUGCUUUUUAAGAUAAAAGUUUGGACUUAAUUAACAGGCAUGUCCUGAACCAGCAGAGACAAAAUAACUUGCUAAUUUAAUCAGCCUCUGAGAAGGAACUGAUCUGGGGAAAGAGUUUAAUCAUGACCAAAAUACAACGGCUUGAAAAUGUAAGCGGAUGCUAUCUUAAUUAUGAAACGGACUUGUGAAAUUUUGACUAUGAGUCUGGCAAGGAUCACUAAGGGAAAGAUGAAAGGAAUUCCUAAUGGAGCUAUCGUUUUAGCGUGGAGGUAUCAUCUCAUUAAGGGCUGGAAGAAGUCCAAGAGGAGAGUUCUGGAUAUCUGCCUGGGAUUAAUGGCGGACAAUGACACAGUUAAAAUAUCUCUUGAGAGCAGAAAACGAAACUAAAGAUCUCUGAGGAGCAGAAACAAGAGUACAAAGGACUGGCCCACUUGUUGAAAUAAUUGAUGGAUUAAUUGUAUAGCCCCAGGGGGAGGCAAGCCAUUUUUAAUUCUCUUUUGAUAUAUAUGUAUUUGCAGUUUUACCUGGUUAACCUCUCCCGAAAGGCAAUGACUUGAAAUACACAAGUGGGAUUGAAAGAACUCUGCUGCUGUUCCCUCAGUGGAAGGAAGGAAAAAAAUCCUGGAUUAGAGAUACUUUGUUUUUGCAGAGGUACCAGAAUGUUGGGAGAUGAUACGAGGCUAUGGAGGGGAAUUCUGAAGAGCUGCCCUGAGCUAAUGGUGUCUUUCUGUCUGGGAUCUGGCGUAUAAUGUCUCCUGAUGGCAGAAACUGAAAAUGGAAUUGCAGGAAAUGGAUAAUACCAGGGGAAAUAUUUCACCAGAACUAUGAAGACUGAAGUUUGAACAGACCAGUGGUUGUAAACAAAAAUGAAAAUAAAGUGAAG
rnacentral:tRNA from 1 species